AUUGAACGCUGGCGGCAUGCUUUACACAUGCAAGUCGAACGGUAACAGGCCGCAAGGUGCUGACGAGUGGCGAACGGGUGAGUAAUGCAUCGGAACGUGCCCAGUCGUGGGGGAUAACGCAGCGAAAGCUGCGCUAAUACCGCAUACGAUCUGUGGAUGAAAGCGGGGGACCGUAAGGCCUCGCGCGAUUGGAGCGGCCGAUGUCAGAUUAGGUAGUUGGUGGGGUAAAGGCUCACCAAGCCAACGAUCUGUAGCUGGUCUGAGAGGACGACCAGCCACACUGGGACUGAGACACGGCCCAGACUCCUACGGGAGGCAGCAGUGGGGAAUUGUGUACAAUGGGGGCAACCCUGAUCCAGCAAUGCCGCGUGCAGGAAGAAGGCCUUCGUGUUGUAAACUGCUUUUGUACGGAACGAAACGGUCUGGGUUAAUACCCUGGGCUAAUGACGGUACCGUAAGAAUAAGCACCGGCUAACUACGUGCCAGCCGCCGCCGCGGUAA
rnacentral:rRNA from 1 species